rnacentral:lncRNA from 1 species
AAAGAAACACCAACUUCUAGGCUCAAAGUGGUUGACUAUGGAUUAACUCCUUAUCUCUUCGGUGUUUGGGGAUUUGAAACAAUGUCUUACAUCAUCGAUAAGGUUUUCUUCAAAAGCAUACCACAACAAUUUCAGGUGUUUCAUUUUUCAUCAUCCUCCUUCCAAUCUUUGUUAACACAACAGUUUGAUAAACAAAAGUGAAUGAGAGAAGUAUUUUUUUUUGUUUUUUAACAUAAAUGAAAAACGAGUGAAUACGAAUG